rfam:Brassica napus, WGS project CCCW01000000 data, contig: 9782
GGAAGUUAAGAAACUGUUUCUUAAUUUUUAACUAAAAAAGCUAAGAACCGGUUCUUAAAUAAGGACUUUAAGAAUCGGUUCUUAGCUUUUUUAGUUAAAAGUUAAGAAACAGUUUCUUAACUUCC